rnacentral:rRNA from 1 species
AACGAACGCUGGCGGCAUGCCUAACACAUGCAAGUCGAACGAGACCUUCGGGUCUAGUGGCGCACGGGUGCGUAACGCGUGGGAACCUGCCCUUAGGUUCGGAAUAACUCCCCGAAAGGGGUGCUAAUACCGGAUAAUGUCUUCGGACCAAAGAUUUAUCGCCUUUGGAUGGGCCCGCGUUGGAUUAGCUAGUUGGUAGGGUAAAAGCCUACCAAGGCGACGAUCCAUAGCUGGUCUGAGAGGAUGAUCAGCCACACUGGGACUGAGACACGGCCCAGACUCCUACGGGAGGCAGCAGUGGGGAAUAUUGGACAAUGGGCGAAAGCCUGAUCCAGCAAUGCCGCGUGAGUGAUGAAGGCCUUAGGGUUGUAAAGCUCUUUUACCCGGGAUGAUAAGGACAGUACCGGGAGAAUAGGCUCCGGCUAACUCCGU